CAAACAUGUCACAUUUGUAAUUGAUGUCGUAUUUUAAACACUGUAAUUAAAAUUGAAUUUGCUUUUUGGUGCCGCCUCUGAUAGAAGCUCCUUGCCUGUUAACGGGGCCUGCCCCCUACUUUGGGAACUAUAUCUGUAAAAACUAAAGAAACUAACAAAAUAAAAAAAUAAAUAACUUUUUUAUAUAAUAUACAACUGUAAAUAAAAAAGACAACAAUACAACAAUAUCAACAUUAUGUAGUCUGGGAUUACAUGACGAUACAGAAGGAUUUGCCCAGACCUACAUCCAGAGGGCGUGUGGAACCACAUACGGAACCCAUAAAAACUGUGUUUAAGUCUACAGUACAUAGAAGCAUUAAAUUAAUGUUUUAAAUACAACGGCAACUGGCCACACCAAAUAUUGAUUUAAUUGACAAUUUGUGUAAAUUUAUCAUUGUUAAUUGAUGAAAAUAAACUAUUCACACUUGCAGCAUAUUUCCACACCUGCCUAAAACUUUUGUACAGUCACGUGAACAAUGAAUGAUGCAAAAUCUGUUCCACUGCAUUACGAGCAUCAACGUCAUGAUACUCAACUGCAGGAUGAAAAGAUGCUGAAGGUUUAAGGAUGUAAACAACGUCCGUGUCUCCCUGCUCUUCUUCAGUCCCCUGAUUGUUCCUCCUGAUACAUCGACACAGACACAGCGCUGUAAGGGUCCAGCACCAACUGAGCACAGCGGACAAUGAACAAACACAAGAAAAGGCAGAGGGAGAUGAAGAAGAAGAUGGCAAAACCAAGAUCCACAUCCACAUCCAGUUUGGCAGCAGGGAACGUCGGUUGGUCCAUGGUGGCUGUGAAACAAAGAAGUGGAAGAAAGGAGGCAAACUGAUCCCAGCUCAACCCAAACCCCUCCGAUGUCUCUGACAUCUUCACCUGUUUACAGAAAGAGGACAGAAAACGGAUCCAGGCCGAUCCCAGCCAAGGUGGCUUUGGUUUCCUCGCCUGUUGACAUAAAACUGUUGACUAAAAACACAGCAGAAACAACCAUGACGUUUGUGAUCUUUGAACGGAGGAGACAACAGCGGACUAGAAGGCUGUAUAAAAAUCCAACUCAAUUUCUGACAUCGUAACAAUUUAUUACAAAACAUUUUCUCAUUUUACAUUUCGAAACAUACACAGUAUAUUUAUAUAACUGUUGAAUGAGUGAAGUUCACAUCAUUGAAAAGAGAAAACAGAAAAACAAAGGAAACAAAGCUUAAAAAAAAAAA